UGUGUGUGUGUGUGUGUGUGUGUGUGUGUGUGUACACAUACACACACAUACAUACACACACACACACAUC
rnacentral:miRNA from 1 species